rnacentral:rRNA from 1 species
UACGAACCGUCCAAACGUUAUUCGGAAUCACUGGGCUUAAAGAGUCUGUAGGCGGCUGAGAAAGUAGGGUGUGAAAUCCCACGGCUUAACCGUGGAACUGCGCCCUAAACUACUCAGCUUGAGGGAGCUAGAGGUAAGCGGAACUGAUGGUGGAGCGGUGAAAUGCGUUGAUAUCAUCAGGAACACCGGAGGCGAAGGCGGCUUACUGGGGCUUUUCUGACGCUGAGAGACGAAAGCUAGGGUAGCGGAACGGG